rnacentral:rRNA from 1 species
UACGAAGGGGACUAGCGUUGCUCGGAAUCACUGGGCGUAAAGCGCACGUAGGCGGGUCUCUAAGUCAGGGGUGAAAUCCUGGAGCUCAACUCCAGAACUGCCUUUGAUACUGGGGAUCUCGAGUCCGGGAGAGGUGAGUGGAACUCCGAGUGUAGAGGUGAAAUUCGUAGAUAUUCGGAAGAACACCAGUGGCGAAGGCGGCUCACUGGCCCGGUACUGACGCUGAGGUGCGAAAGCGUGGGGAGCAAACAGG